UACAGAGGGCGCGAGCGUUAAUCGGAAUUACUGGGCGUAAAGCGCGUGUAGGCGGCUUUGCAAGUCGGUUGUGAAAUCCCCAGGCUUAACCUGGGAACUGCAUUCGAGACUGCAUUGCUAGAGUAUGGGAGAGGGAAGUGGAAUUUCCGGUGUAGCGGUGAAAUGCGUAGAUAUCGGAAGGAACAGCAGUGGCGAAAGCGACUUCCUGGACCAAUACUGACGCUCAUGUGCGAAAGCGUGGGGAGCAAACAGG
rnacentral:rRNA from 1 species